rnacentral:rRNA from 1 species
AGUGAACGCUGGCGGUAGGCCUAACACAUGCAAGUCGAACGGCAGCACAGUAAGAGCUUGCUCUUACGGGUGGCGAGUGGCGGACGGGUGAGGAAUACAUCGGAAUCUACUUUUUCGUGGGGGAUAACGUAGGGAAACUUACGCUAAUACCGCAUACGACCUACGGGUGAAAGCAGGGGAUCUUCGGACCUUGCGCGAUUGAAUGAGCCGAUGUCGGAUUAGCUAGUUGGCGGGGUAAAGGCCCACCAAGGCGACGAUCCGUAGCUGGUCUGAGAGGAUGAUCGGCCACACUGAAACUGAGACACGGUCCAGACUCCUACGGAAGGCAGCGGUGGGGAAUAUUGGACAAGGGGCGCAAGCCUGAUCCAGCCAUACCGCGUGGGUGAAGAAGGCCUUCGGGUUGUAAAGCCCUUUUGUUGGAAAGAAAAGCAGCAGGUUAAUACCCCGCUGUUCUGACGGUACCCAAAGAAUAAGCACCGGCUAACUUCGUG